rnacentral:pre_miRNA from 1 species
UCAAUACUCCCUCUGCCCCGAAUUACUUGUCACAGAAAUGGAUGUAUCUAGACGUAUUUUAGUUAUAGAUACGUCCAUUUCCGUGACAAGUAAUUCCGGACGGAGGUAUGUAAGCA